rnacentral:sRNA from 1 species
GAAUGCCAAGGGAACAGAAGCACCCGAAGUAGUGACAAAGGAGGAGGAUGACGAUGAAGAGACUGCCCCUCCCGUUAUUGCCCCACCACUGGAUCAUACCAAAUCA